rnacentral:rRNA from 1 species
GGCUCAGAGUGAACGCUGGCGGUAGGCCUAACACAUGCAAGUCGAACGGCAGCACAGAGGAGCUUGCUCCUUGGGUGGCGAGUGGCGGACGGGUGAGGAAUACAUCGGAAUCUACUCUGUCGUGGGGGAUAACGUAGGGAAACUUACGCUAAUACCGCAUACGACCUACGGGUGAAAGCAGGGGAUCUUCGGACCUUGCGCGAUUGAAUGAGCCGAUGUCGGAUUAGCUAGUUGGCGGGGUAAAGGCCCACCAAGGCGACGAUCCGUAGCUGGUCUGAGAGGAUGAUCAGCCACACUGGAACUGAGACACGGUCCAGACUCCUACGGGAGGCUGCAGUGGGGAAUAUUGGACAAUGGGCGCAAGCCUGAUCCAGCCAUACCGCGUGGGUGAAGAAGG